rnacentral:rRNA from 1 species
GGAGGGAGCAAGCGUUGUUCGGAAUCACUGGGCUUAAAGAGCACGUAGGCGGGUCCGUAAGUCAGGGGUGAAAGCCCCCCGGCCUAACCGGGGAAGGGCCUCUGAAACUGCGGGUCUUGAGUGAAGCAGAGGGGAGUGGAACUCUCGGUGGAGCGGUGAAAUGCGUUGAUAUCGAGAGGAACACCGGCGGCGAAGGCGACUCCCUAUGCUUCUACUGACGCUGAGGUGCGAAAGCCAGGGGAGCGAACGGGAUUAGAUACCCCGGUAGUCCUGGCCCUAAACGGUGGGCACUAGGUAGUGGGGGUUCUGAUGGCUCCCUCUGCCGCAGCUAACGCAUUAAGUGCCCCGCCUGGGGACUACGACCGCAAGGUUAAAACUCAAAGGAAUUGACGGGGGCUCACACAAGCGGUGGAGCAUGUGGCUUAAUUCGAUGCUACGCGAGGAACCUUACCAGGGUUUGACAUGCUGGUGGUACGACCUCGAAAGGGGGAGGACCCUCGUCAGAGGGAGCCAGCACAGGUGCUGCAUGGCUGUCGUCAGCUCGUGUCGUGAGAUGUUGGGUUAAGUCCCAUAACGAGCGAAACCCCUGUCCGCUGUUGCCAGCGGUUCGGCCGGGGACUCUGCGGAGACUGCCGGUGUUAAACCGGAGGAAGGUGGGGAUGACGUCAAGUCCGCAUGGCCCUUAUGCCCUGGGCGGCUCACGUGCUACAAUGGCCGGUACAAAGGGACGCCAACCCGUGAGGGGGAGCAAAUCCCAAAAAGCCGGCCCCAGUUCAGAUUGGAGGCUGCAAUUCGCCUCCAUGAAGGUGGAAUCGCUAGUAAUCGCGCAUCAGCCAUGGCGCGGUGAAUGUGUUCCUGAGCCUU